rnacentral:lncRNA from 1 species
AGAAUUUUGUAACCAUUGCUUGAAGUUUGGGCAUAAUGCAAUGGACUGUUGGUAUAACAGUCAUACUGAUGGAAAACAAGAGCAGGAAGUUCAAGCAAGUCUGGCUAGAAAUAAGGUGAGGAACAAACAGCCAAGGAAGAAAUGGAUCCCAAAAGGAAACAUUGAAACAACCAACUCUUUGGCUAAAGAUGUUGUCAAUGCAACAGUAAUUCCUACUCAACCAAUGCAUAUAGAUCCAUUAUCAUUGGUUAGUGAAGGAAAUGCUGCCACUAAUACUACUGUAAGUGCUGAUC